rnacentral:rRNA from 1 species
CCCUUAUGAUUUGGGCUACACACGUGCUACGAUGGCGUAACCAAAGGGAAGCGAACCCGCGAGGGCGGGCAACUCUCAAAAAUAACGUACCAGUUCGGACUGCAGUCUGCAACUCGACUGCAUGAAGGUGGAAUCGCUAGUAAUCGCGGAUCAGCAUGCCGCGGUGAAUACGUUCCCGGGCCUUGUACACACCGCCCGUCACACCAUGGGAGUCAGUAACGCCCGAAGUCAGUGACCUAACCGCAAGGGAGGAGCUGCCGAAGGCGGGACCGAUGACUGGGGUGAAGUCGUAACAAGGUAGCCGUAUCGGAAGGUGCGGCUGGAUCACCUCCUUU